rnacentral:rRNA from 1 species
GACGUAGGGGGCAAGCGUUGUCCGGAAUUAUUGGGCGUAAAGGGUGCGUAGGCGGUUUGGUAAGUCUCGUGUGAAAUCUCCGGGCUCAACUCGGAGCCUGCACGAGAAACUGCCGGGCUUGAGUGUGGGAGAGGUGAGUGGAAUUCCUGGUGUAGCGGUGAAAUGCGUAGAUAUCAGGAGGAACACCUGUGGCGAAAGCGGCUCACUGGACCAUAACUGACGCUGAUGCACGAAAGCUAGGGGAGCAAACAGG